rnacentral:ncRNA from 1 species
GCGCCAACGCCGGGGAGCUCGGGACAGCCGGGCUGAGAGGAUGCGCCGCAGCCGCGAGGCGAGCGCGCGUCGACCCGUGAACCUGAACUGGGUAAUGCCAGCGGAGGGACGCCGUGCGAGGAAUCGU